GUUCAAUCUACUUGGUCCUCCGACUCUUCUUUCUUUUACUCCCAUUUCCUUCCAGGUUUGCGGUCCCCCUCGCACCCACGAAUAACUGAGUCCCGCGGGACGGGAUAAGUGGCGCCCGACGUGAGGGCGAGGUCCAGAUCGUAAUUCCUAAUCAGUGGAGGUUCCAGAGAAGUUCGUCGCGACCCCAAGAAUUUAAAAGUAGUGAAGGACACCUUCCGCUGCUCACGGAAGAGCGAGAAGUCCUUGUUUGUUCUAGGAACUUUUUGCCAGUGGCCUGUGUCUCAGAAGUGCUUCGGGGCCUGUGACCUCUAAGCAGAAGGACAUGCCGAGG
rnacentral:lncRNA from 1 species